CGUCACAUUCCAAGUCACAGAAUGGUCAGAAUGUUUGCUUUUCCUCGUUCGACGAAUUUCACGAGCGUUGUUUUCACUCCGGGAAGUCGUGUAUGGAAAAAAAGGCAGCAAGGCAAGCAGCUAAGGCUUGACCGAAAGGUACUGGCGACGGUGCUUUUAAAGCUGUACCGCGUGUUUGUUUGCGGCCCGUGUUAAUUCGUCGUACAAAUAACCGGCGACGGCCCUCGGACCACGAACGAUUCGUAGCCGUUGCAAAUGAUCAGUUCCUCGCGGGCAAUACGUGUAACUGCAUUGCGUUUCACCGUUCCAUCGCGUGAUCUUUGAAAAAAGGCAAAUGAAUGCCUCUCGGUGUGCUGGGUGAAGUGAUGUCUUAAGCAGUGGAUGCUUCGUAUCGAAUACGCUAGUUGUUUGCGAUGGAUUAUCGAGUUCGUUCCGCAACGAAAAUACAUCGGAUUAUACGCAGCCAUUAUCCAUCGAAACACACUUGAAAUCGUGGAGAAGAACGAAACAAGUCAAUACGUGUGGAGGUUUACGACGUCGGGGUUGGAAAUCAACGAAGAGAACGGCCGCGUCGCAAUAGGGAGACCACUCGUGCUCGGGAGUGUCGAAUGAAUGAUACGCAAACAGUAUUGGAUCAUUUUGAAUCUGCGGGGACGAUCCACUCGCUAUGGCGUCAAUUUUCUUCCCGACGUUUGGAGAAAUCUUCUUUGAGAGUUGGCAUCUUGCGUCUUUUUUGUACUAUCUUCUUGAAUUUUUGUUGAAUAUCAAGAAAUGUAAUUUAAUGGCAGGAAAUUAUGUAACUACUUUUACAUGGAAAUAACGAAGUACCGUGACGGAAGUAGAUCAAAACGAUGCUCCUCUUGUUCAAAAGCGGAAUUUUGCACGCGCGUGCGAUUGUGUAUACAACUAUUAAGUGCUUACAUUUAUGUCUCUCAUAAUUGGCUUCGUUAAAUGAAGAGAGUGACUGAGGAAUUAGCUUGCCGGUAAUAACCCGGCUAUUUAUUAACACGUGAAACGAGACGCUAUGGGUCGCGCGAACUAACAUAUCCGACACAUGAGGGUCGAUCCUCGAGAAACAUCUUGCUUGGUAUCGUUUGUUAUUUCGUUAAGGAAAAAACUGACCUGCUGGCCUACAUUCCAUCCUGUUUUCACUUCCUGUCGGUAUAGAAGGAUUUCACGAGUUAGGAAAAAAAGGAUCCUGAAAGAACUCGAAGAUUUCACUUUUCUCUUUGUCUUCAAAUCGAAGAUAAUUUUGUUUUGAAAAUUUAAUGAAUAAUUAAUGAUAACAAUAAUAAUGAAAAACAUAACGAAACGAAUAAAAUUUAAAAGGGAAAAAUAGGAAGAGAUUCUCGUAUGGUUUUCUU